GUUCUCUCUUCCUUUCAUUUGGUCAAAUCAAAAUAAAGAAAGAAUAUUUUAUUACAAAAUUUAGGAAAAAGACGAAUCCGUUGUGCAUCAUAUAUGUUAUUUUUUAUUUUUCAUUUUCUUUUAUUCCACCUCUCUUUCUCUCUAUGGAGAGUAUUUCAGAAGAUAGGAGAAGAUCAGAUAUGGAGCCUCCACCAGCACAAGCCAUAGAUGCUUCCACAAAGAAUUUCGAGAUAGAAGAAGAUGAGCAGGACAAAGUCAUCAAUGAGUGCUGUUCCUGCUUUUAUGACUGCACGGAGACCUGCUUUGAUUACUUAUUCUGUAAUCUCUGUUAGAUGAAUCAUGAGAGAUUUAGAUUAAGACCUUAACUUAAUUAUGUUGUAUUAGUAAUUUAGUACUAUUACAUUAUCCUAUAUUGGGAAUCUACAGUAGUUGGUGUUCUUGGUCUGUGUUUGUGAAUUCGAAUAAUUCUCAGCACUUUUGUCAACAUCUAGAUGUUGCACUAUUUGCAGAGAAUUAAUAUUGUAAUCUAAAUUUAUGUUGACAAAAGUUUCUGGUUAUUUAUAAAGAUAAUGUUAAGGAGAUCAAAUUUC